GACGAACGCUGGCGGCGUGCUUAACACAUGCAAGUCGAACGGAAAGGCCCUGCUUGCAGGGUACUCGAGUGGCGAACGGGUGAGUAACACGUGGGUGAUCUGCCCUGCACUUCGGGAUAAGCCUGGGAAACUGGGUCUAAUACCGGAUAGGAGCCAUUUUUAGUGUGAUGGUUGGAAAGUUUUUUCGGUGUAGGAUGAGCUCGCGGCCUAUCAGCUUGUUGGUGGGGUAAUGGCCUACCAAGGCGGCGACGGGUAGCCGGCCUGAGAGGGUGGACGGCCACAUUGGGACUGAGAUACGGCCCAGACUCCUACGGGAGGCAGCGGUGGGGAAUAUUGCACAAUGGGCGCAAGCCUGAUGCAGCGACGCCGCGUGGGGGAUGACGGCCUUCGGGUUGUAAACUCCUUUCGCUAGGGACGAAGCUUUUGUGACGGUACCUAGAUAAGAAGCACCGGCUAACUACGUG
rnacentral:rRNA from 1 species